UAGGACUUGCUAUUAGCCAAACAAAAGUACUUGAGCCUCAAUUUAUCAAAACCACUCGAACUUAAAAAAUAAAAACAAAAAUCCAAAAUAAAAACAGAAAAUCAAAAAUGAAAAAUAAAAAUCAAAAAUCAAAAAAAUGAAAAAUAAAAAAUGAAAAUAAAAAUUGGUGUUAUUCUGGGAAAUUUGUUCUCUCCAACAUAAAUUAGAAAUCCUCAUAAGCCAUAUGAAAACGCAAUUAUCCCAACUUUACAAUCAAAAUUCUUACAUGAUUACAAAAUUCACAAUUUUCCCAGAAUAAUGUCAUUUAGCGUAAUGCCAAAUAAAGUUUAUUUCCUCUCUCAAAUUUGUCUGCUCCCUCUUUAGUAAUUUGUCAAUUAAAUUUGGCUGUGGCAUCUCUCGACGAAACUGACCACUUAUUUCCCACUACAAUUUCAUUACAACAAAAUUUACAUAAAUUGGAUUUCUCUUCACAUCCCAGAUUCCGAAAUUAAUAAAAAUGUUCAUCCCAUUAUUUUGGUCACAGCUGAAUUAAAAAAUAGCCAGAUUAUAUCAGCAUGUGAUCCAAAAGAUUACAUUUUAGCAAAAAUUGGCAUUUUCAAGUCCUUCAAAAUCAAAAUUAGAUUGCAUAUCGUCUAAUAUUUCGAACGUGACUCACGACAGGUCCCCUCUCAUUCUUUCGUGAAUCAAUCGUGGCUCUUUGUCAAUUUUAAGAUUUACUUCAGCUGCUUCCACUUCUCCUCUUGUCCAAAUCAGUAAAAUGGCUAUUCACUUUACCAUAUUAAUCUCCUGUUUAGUUCUCGCUAACUCAAACUCUGCGUCCUACUCUGCACAUCUGACUCUCUACCUUCUCCUGUUCUGGCCCCUUUCCCAAGCAAGGUGAGGAGACCUCACAUGCCCAACAGCCUAAUUUUAAGGAUGAGGAGUAAGUCACAUGCAAACUUCAAAAUGGAACAGUACAUGAAACAAAUAUGAGUACACAUAUUUGUAAAAUUAUUCCAACAUUCCUGUUCCUCUAUCUAAAAAACUUAACAUACUGCGCCAAACACUUCACUCUUUCAACUUACUUUUCCAUCUAAACCACCAGCCGAAUCGCAGAAAAUCUUAAAAAUAUCGCACGCCUCUACUUCUUAGUGUCCAAUCUACAUUAAAAUUAAUUAGUACUUUGUCACUUCCACCUUUGAAAUAAAUCAUCAACACUGGAGUUUCUUGAGCGUCUUUGUGACGCCCUUGGUUGCCUCCUGGUUACAGGGGUGUUGGGGCACAUUAAUAAAAGCAUUCAAAGCUACCUCAAAUGUGACUGGAUUCACCGUGAUGCAGUCCAAUGUCAGCAGGUCCCUCGGACCACAGUGACCUGUAUACAAAAACAUUCAGUACCUGAAGAAUACAUGACAAGGGGUAUUUGAACUCAUGUCCAAUCAGUUGCCAAACGGCAUCGUCCCACCAUGGGUCCCAAUUCUUGAGCUUCGUGUCUUAGUCAUCAAUCUAAAUACUUAUGCAUUAGUCGAGGUGAGAUCUGGGAGGCAUUGUAGCUUAGAAGUCGUGGAGCUUUAGUGGUUGGUGUUAAGGAUGGGAAUCUGUCUUGGUAAACAGCAAACAAUGGAGUGACAGGAGACAAAAUGUUCAAGUUCAACAUAUUUAAACCUAGGAUGAGACAGAAUGUCAUCUGAUUGGUGAAAAAUAAAACAAGAACAUAUCAGUCUCACUACAACACCGCACGCCAUGAAUUAUCUCCGUGCCUGGAUCCAAACCUCUCUGUCGAUGGCCAAUUCUGGCAGUUGUUUCUGCAAAAAUUCAAAAUCAUUUAAUAACAAUUAUAAGUCAAUUAACCCACCUUAUUGAUUUGGAAUCAUGAGGUAAUUUCCAGGUGUUAGGGUGUAUCUAAUUAGGUUCCAACUUCUAGUCUUUGUCUGGGAUCUUAUUUGGACUUGGUCACACAAUAGCAGCCGACGGGCCUUUGCCAUCUGCUUUCAAUUAGGGGAGGGGGUGAAAAUAAGUCUCUGUCAGCUACCUUGGUCAUCGUCUGGGCUGGGGCUCUGCUGCCCCCCCCUCCCUUUUUUACUGCUCCUGCAGCCGACUCCUUAGGGAUCCCUGUUGUCUUAAAUUCCAAUUCUGAAAACAAUUUUUAUCUGUCGCACCAUAUCUGCUGGCAGCUAGUUUACUCCAAUUUCACUCUUUAAUUUUACAUUAAUUUGCAUUUUAAUCAAUUUAGUAUCUUGAGCUUACUAGAAUUUGUAGUUUUAGAAUCUCAUCAAAUCUAUAUAUGUACUCGACUUCUCAUUCAUGAAUACUUAUCUAUUCAUACUAUAGCCCAUCUGCCUUUUAAUUCAAGUUUCCCCUGCUACAAUAUUUAUUUCAUUCUAGCAUAAAUAUAACAGUUGUGCCAACUGUUUCUUCAUAAUUGAUAGAUUACAGUUAAGAUUUUGCCGAAUUAGUUUCGCUACAACAGCCUUCCAGAGAAGUCUACUGCUAUUCGCUUUUGGUUUAGAGUUCUCGGAUGGAGUUUAAUUUCGACAUUUGUUGAUCAAUCAAAUGUGAAAUUAUCUCCCACCGAUGUUUUAUUUUAAAAUAAGAAUACUACCUCCUUAGCACAAUAUUUUUCACAAAUCACAACAAUCCUUGCUCCAUAAAUUAAUCAGAUAUUUAAACCUAUUUUAAUCUAUGAGCUCGUGAAUGAAUAAAUCAUUAGUUUAGAGCUAAAUAAACACAUUAGAGAAAAAAUGUGGUCUAGCAGCUCAUUAGCUGGUCUUAAAACUUAAGGUAAAUAUAUUUUAUCAUACAAUAUAAUCAUUGUCUCGACAUGUCAUUUUCCGCCAAAUUAAACAAAUCUCAUUACUUUUAAGGUUGUUUAACAAAACAUUUUGAGCUCUUAAAGAUCAUACUAUUGAUCUCAAUUAAGCUCACUAGUUCAUUAUUUAUUUCACCUCACUCGCUUUUCAUUUCAUUCAUAAAUUCUAUUUCAAUAAUCAGUUUUCCCCAUUACUAUCAAUUUGAUAUCAUCUCUAGUAAAAAGAGAGGGCUUAGAUAUAUUUUCAGCCUCCCUUGUUAUGCCUGGCCAGAACACAACAAGGGGGGUUCACAGCGGCCCGCUCUCCUAAAUUUUGAACACCAUCCCCCUUUUCUUAAUCAAAGGCGCCACGUGGCACACACGGGUGCCUCCCAGAAUGUGAACAAAGAUGCUUCAUUUAUUAUCCUAUCCUCGACGUUAAGUAUUUCAAAAACAAUUCCUUUGUUUGUCCGUGCUCCCUCUCCACUCACGAGAGCAGAAUAAGGAGGGCUCAUUUCACUCACAAUUAGAGAAAAGAAAAGAAAGAGGAAAAAGAAAAGAAAAAGUGGGGGGACCCCACACACACUCACACAAACAAACGACAAAUAACAAACAUCCGCGGAACAAAUUCGAGUAGCUCAUACCCUCGUCCCAGGACCAGCGUUACCCCAUGGAACGCUGCAAAAGGCACUUAAUCGUGGUUUACGCAAAUCGUUCCGCUUUUGUCACGGCCGGAACCCCUCACAUAGGGAGCUCUUAAUUACUUCACACGAAACGGGUCGUCAAAAACUCCCGGAACCACCUCACAUAGGGUGUUCUACAUGCAUUUUGUAAUUGCGAUAUAUAAAUAAAUAAAUAAAUAAAUAACAUACACAUUUAAUUAAUUCAUUAAUUAACUAGUAAUAACACAAUUAAUAAUUAAUUAAUACAAUUAAUUUUCCUAAUAUCAAUUCAAUCCUCUCUGGGACAUCGGCGUAUUAAAAAUAUUCAUUCAUUCAUUCCGCUUUUCCUCACGAGGGUCGCUGAGGUGCUGGAGCCUAUCCCAGCAAUUUAGAAUGUUCAAUCUGCCUACUAUGCAUGUUUUUGGAAUGUGGGAGUGCUAACCACUCAGUCACCAUGCCGCUAUUAAAAAUAAAAAUUACCUUAUACUAUAUUGGCGCCUCACCGUCUGUCCCAAAGUGGCUUGAGUUCUCCGAAUUCUGUGUCGCCUCCCCCGCUUCAAGAAUCCUGCCCGACAACGCCAUUUGAAGGAAAAUAGUCGAUUUAUCCUUGUUACAGGUUGUUUUAUUCUUAUAAAGAACAGGAGAUGAUGACAUAGAAUUUGGAAAGAAAAAAGAAAAAAGAAUUUACACUGAAAGACACACAGACAGAAAACACGGGACAUGGUACCGAGACAGGACGAAAAGAGCAAAAGUCUCUUCCUCUCUCCUCUGACUCUUUUUCUUCCCUCUCGCUUGGGGGCAGGGACUAGCUAAUAUUUUCCAGAAGUGCCGCUACUCGAAGGCAUACACUGUCUUAUGAUGGAGAAUGCAAUGUCCACAUAUGAUUAUUGUGAAUAAAUGGAAAUAUAUUCCUACAGGAUCAAAUUUUGAGUGGAUUGCCAGGAGUACAAUGUUACUUGGAUGACAUUCUCUGCACCGGUGCCAACGACGAGGACCAUCUUCGCAACCUGGAUGCUGUCUUAAAAAGGCUAAGGCAGUAUGGUCUUUGAGUGCGCAAGGAAAAAUGUGAAUUUUUGAGACCAUCGGUGGAGUAUCUCGGGCAUGUGAUCGACCACGAAGGACUACACAAGGCUCCAUCUAAGACAAAGGCAAUUGUGGUUGCCCCCAUCCCCGGACAAUCUGGCAUACGAUGCUUCACCCUAUGGUGUGGGUGAUGUCAUCUCCCAUGUGUUCCCGAAUGGAGAUGAAAGACCAAUUGCUUUCGCAUCGAGAACACUUAACAAAGCAGAGUCAAACUAUGCUCAAUUGGAACGAGAAGCAUUGAGCAUUAUUAAAGGUGUGAGGAAGUUCCACCAAUAUUUGUAUGGAAGGAAGUUUACUCUGUUAACGUAUCACAGACCACUGACAACGAUUUUGGGACCUCAUGCAGAAUUCCUAUCGCUGGCUGCUGCACGUCUUCAGAGCUCUUACAGUGUUUUUACAUCAAGGAAGGAAAUAAAAGUUGUAAACCAUCAGUUCGAAAGACCAGCUUUUCAACCGGGAUGCUACAAUGACAUUCUGCCUAACCUCCCCAUACUGAAAAAGGAAAUUCAACAAUCUCUUCGCAAGAAGAGGAUGCCGUUUCCCUGUGUUUGAGAACUGUAUUUCGGCCUAACCUCCCCAUACUGAAAAAGGAAAUUCAACAAUCUCUUCGCAAGAAGAGGAUUCCGUUUCCCUGUGUAUGAGAACUGUAUUUCGAAUUUUGACCUCAAGUUAAUCAAACACCUUCAUGAUGUUAAAAUGAACUGAUGAGACUGAAUAUAGUCAAUAAUCACUGCACAACUGCCUUCCUGGCUAGCUCGCCAAGAAAUGUAACACGUACUGUAUGAGCUGUGAUGUUACUAGCACCAUUGAGGUACCAAUAUUAGUCUGUUCAGUGAGACACCAGGUUUGGCUACUGGGGGGAAGAGACAGUAAAAAAAGACUAUUUGGUUUGAUUGGAGUGAAACAUGUAUUGGAAAAAUGUGAAUACAAAACCCACAGUAUUUACAGUCUUGUACGGUGUAGAUCAGUGUAUGCACAAUCAACUAUUAAUCAACUGUAAUUGAUUUAUCACAAACCCCAUAGUCCAUUUUCCCCACCCAAAUGUUCAUGGGUGACGAACUGCCAAGCAUGACUGUCUUUAGGGUUUAUGGAAAUGCAAUGCUAAGUGUCUAGUAGCGCAGCGUGAGCCAACGGACGGUGAGUGGGUAUCAGAAAUGCUUGGUGUGAGUAGUGGGGAGAGGAAAUGGUCAGCUUUAGGGCCUAUUACCAGAAAUUGGCUUGGCAAUCACGUUAAAGGACAAAAGGUUAGGUUUAGGUUCCUGGCCUUAAUUCCUAGCUCGCCAUCCGAGGAUUGGAGUAGUCCAAAGGCAAGGCAACUGGCCUGCAUGGACCAAGCAACCUAAUUAUAUUUAAUUUCUGACAACAUUAGCACGUAAAUGUUUAGCAUGCUUAUAAGAUAAAAUAAUACAAUAAUCAACAUCUAUCGACACAGACAAUCACAUAAACACAUAUGUUGUGUAUGCAUUGUGGCUAAUCCGCUAACAAUUAGUGAUAACAUAAAAUUCAGACUCACCAGUUCACGUGUAUGUAGUAGAGCACACACUAACUGGUCCCAACACAAAUCAAAUGUCUGGUUCCACAAGUUAUGAAACGGCCUUUAAAUACCAGUUUUAAAUGUGAAACUGUGUUGGAUUUGUCAAAAGCAUUUCAGACUGAUCUUCAGCUGCUGCUCCUCCUCGGGUGGCUUCACAGAGUGGGGAAAAAAACAGCACUGGCCUAAAAAUGGAAUUCUUACCCAGUUUACAUAAUGUUACUGUUUACGUUGACUUAAAAUGGGCUGCUACACCACUAGAGGGCGAUGUCCAUAUAUCUCUACUCGGAUUAGUCAAUAGAGUAGGCAGGGAGAAUGGUGUGUCAAGAGGCAAAGGGCACAAUGUUUGAGUUACAGCCAUAGCUACACAUUAGCAAUGAGGGAGGUCAUCCAUUUUGUCUUCAUUGUUACUUACAACACAAAUGUAUCAACGUCUUUUAAAAAAUAACUGACCGCACAAUGUUUGAGUUACAGCCAUAGGUACACAUUAGCAAUGAGGGAGGUCAUCCAUUUUGUCUUCAUUGUUACUUACAACACAAAUGUAUCAACGUCUUUGUCUCCCGUUUAUUCGAAUCCAGGUCGUGGGGACAGCAGCCUCAGCAGACAAUGUAAGAACGUCAAGUGAAAUUUUGAAGGUAAUUGAAAAAAGUGUCAUUCAUUGGAUUUAAUGAUUAAUUGUUUAGUUAAUCGUCCCAUUAAUCGAUUAUGAAUUACUUUCAGCCAUGUUACUAACAUACUUAAAAUGCAGCAAAUAUGCUACCAAAAAAUAAAGUGUGUGUGUGCGUGCGUGCGUGCGUGCGUGUGUGUCUGCUGGGUUAGUGCAGGUUGGGACCUGGGGGUAUUUUAUUUCACAUACUCUAACAAGAAUGGGUAGUUGCGCCCAUAGGUGGUGUGUUCCAUUUACUCUUUCACUCGCCCUCCGCCCACUUUUCCCAGGGCGCAUGAGCGAGGGCGACUCAAACUGUUUUUGGAACGCAGCUACUGUGAUUUCUUCACGAGCGUUGAAAUAACCUCUCUUGUUUUAGUGACAAGCCUUCAUGACAUUUUUUUGUUUGAAUGAAGAGGUUCAAGGUCUUUUCGGGGCUUGAGACAGGAAGUAUAGCGUCAUGAGAGAUGCGGUCACUCUGCAGCCAGACCCCUCUCAGAGAUUUUGACACUGCUAGCUCUGUUAUGUAUAUAUAUAUGGUGAGCGACACAUUGGCACAAAACAAAAAUGAUCAAUAUUUAUUUUGUUUUGAUGUUUAGGUCAUUAGCUGCCAUUGACAGAGCAGAGACCGGCAUGACGUCUCUUUUCAUAUGGGUGAAAGAUCAUUCACGAUGUUAUGCUAUGUACUCAUAUUUACUGUAUGUAGACUUUUAUUCUCUGUCAAAUCAAUCAUGCAUUCACAUUCUGGUUAGUUUCAACAUAUAACAUUUGGUGUCAUAGAAGUAAGCUCACUUUUGUCAGUCUCUUGAAGAACACAAAGGUGGAACGUGAUCCUCCUUAGUCUACUCAAGUCUUUGAUAAUCAAAUAAGGGAAGUCACAGACAACCUCCAGAACUGUUGACCAAUGGUUUGAAUGAUUGAAGUAAACGCCCACAA